CAGCAGUCGCCGCGGGAAUACAGAGGGUGCGAGCGUUAAUCGGAUUUACUGGGCGUAAAGCGUGCGUAGGCGGCUUCUUAAGUCGGAUGUGAAAUCCCUGAGCUUAACUUAGGAAUUGCAUUCGAUACUGGGAAGCUAGAGUAUGGGAGAGGAUGGUAGAAUUCCAGGUGUAGCGGUGAAAUGCGUAGAGAUCUGGAGGAAUACCGAUGGCGAAGGCAGCCAUCUGGCCUAAUACUGACGCUGAGGUACGAAAGCAUGGGGAGCAAACAGGAUUAGAUACCCCCGUAGUCCCUGUCUCUUAUAC
rnacentral:rRNA from 1 species